CGCGGGGUAGAGCAGGUGGCCGCUCGUCGGGCUCAUAACCCGGAGGUCGCAGGUUCGAGUCCUGUCCCCGCUA
rnacentral:tRNA from 1 species